CUCCAUCCUUCACACAUUUGGAGCACAAACAUUCACACUAAACAAUCAAGAGUAACCAAAAAUCCACCAUGAAGAUCUUCUUGGUCUUUGCCCUCCUCGUUGUAUCAACGAUCAUCACCACCGCGACCGCGCAGCUCGACCCUAGCAUCCAUGUACAAGAAAGGCCACAACAAUCGUUUCCGCAGCAGCAACCACUUACCCAACAACAACCAUUCCCGCUGCAAGAGCCACAACAACCACUAUUCCAGCAACAACAACCGUAUCCACAACAGUCACUUCGCCAACAACAACUUCCCCAGCAACAUUUAUUUCCGCAGCAACCGCCGCAACAACAAUUUCCAUAGUAGAUGCCACUUCCGCAUCAACAACAAAUAUUCCCGCAACAACAACAACCCCCACAACAACAACCAUUUUACCAAUAUCAACAACCAUUAACACAACAACCAUACACGCGAGAGCAACCAUUGCCACAACAACAACCUUCUGUGGAGGAAAACCAACAAUUGAACUUGUGCAAGGAGUUCCUGCUGCAGCAGUGCAACCCGGAGGAGAAAGUGUCAUUACUGCAGUCAAUGAUCCCGUUCCUCCGACCAAAGACCUCGCAACAGAACAACUGCCAGUUGAAGCGGCAACAAUGUUGUCGACAACUUGCACAUAUCAGCGAGCCGUCCCGAUGUCCGGCCAUCCACAACAUUGUGCACGCCAUCAUCAUGCAACAACAACAACAACAUGUGGAUAGAGGUUUCGUCCAGCCUCAACCACAACAGUUGGGCCAGGGAAUGCCCAUGCAGCCUCAACAUCAAUUGGGCCAGGGCUUAAGCCUACCUCAACAACUAGCCCAGUUCAAGUUGGUUAGGUUACUUGUGAUUCAGACCUUGCCUAUGUUAUGCAAUGUGCAUGUCCCAUCUGAUUGCUACACCAUUAGUGCACCAUUUGGUGGCAUCACUGCCUACAACGGUGGACAAUGAAAUCACAAGAGUUGUACUACUAUAUAGAUGGAACUUCAUUGUUUACUCGAUUGGACGAUCGAUGUAGCAAUGGAAAAAUAAAAUGUCAUGCACCAUCAUAUGCGUGACUGACACCAAUACAAGUUCAAAUUUGGGAAUAAAGGCAAACAAAAUAUUGCACGUCAUGCCCAUCUAAUUCAAUAGGAACUGCAAUCCAUCAAUUCCAUAUCAAUAUUUCACAAGUAUAUCAACUCAGGCUCAGCGUGCAAUGUGAAAAAAGGAGCCUCUUGAUCCGGAAAAUUUAGUUCAGGGAUCUCGCGCCCCUAAUCACCCCCAGCCACCAAAGUCCAUCGACGGCUGCCAGGAGGUAUGAUCUCAGGGUCAUGUCCUGGGUCGAUGAGUUGUACCAGCAUGUGUCGCCGUGUGACCUUUUCCAAAAAAUGUGUCCGUGUGUGGGUUCAUUGUAUAGGAAUGGGUCCCAGAGGGCGGUGUGUGUGCGAAUGGCUUUAAAGGCCAGGACCAUCUGCUUCGAGAGGCAUGUCAAUGAAUGAAUGUUCUGAAUCCCAUCUGUGUUCUUUUGGUCCUCACCUCCUUUCUCUGAUUCCUCACUCCAAUUCUCUCAAAAUAUCCCAAAUCUAUCCAAAUACCGAGCUCAUUUGUGCGAUCUCGAUCAACGACCGGGUCGUGACACUCAGCGAUGGAGCGGAGGGACACGUCCGAGGGAGGAGGCGUUGCUCAUAGGGUGGCAUGAGGCUCACACUGGCUCGAUCGCGGAUUUGUGGUGGAGGGCGUGGUCAUGGCCACGGCGUCAUCAUGUGCGUCCAUGUAUGGGCACGAGGCUGAGCCGUUCCUCCUCAGUACUGGCUGUUGCGCUAGCCUGGGCACCUCCUCGUUCCCAACCCAUCCUCACCCAUGCAGCCAUCGGCAUGGCCGCCCGUAAUUGCAGUGGUGAGCGGCGCCGGGAGUAGGGGUCAUGUCGUAGGGCGUCUUGUUGGGACCUACCCGGACGAACCUCUCUCUUUCUCUCUCUCUCUCUCUCUCUCUCUCUCUCUCUCUCUCUCUCUCUCUCUCUCUCUCUAUCGGACGGAGAUGGAAGAUGAAGAGGACACUGGAUUUUUCUCCGGCGACCAACGCCAUGCCGCACGAACGGGCCCAAUCGGCUUACUGCUGGCCGAUAGGCGCCAUUUUUCUUUUUCUGUUUUUGCUUUUAGUUGUUGUUUUCUAUUUAUUCUAGCUAUCAAAUGAAUUUNNNNNNNNNNNNNNNNNNNNNNNNNNNNNNNNNNNNNNNNNNNNNNNNNNNNNNNNNNNNNNNNNNNNNNNNNNNNNNNNNNNNNNNNNNNNNNNNNNNNNNNNNNNNNNNNNNNNNNNNNNNNNNNNNNNNNNNNNNNNNNNNNNNNNNNNNNNNNNNNNNNNNNNNNNNNNNNNNNNNNNNNNNNNNNNNNNNNNNNNNNNNNNNNNNNNNNNNNNNNNNNNNNNNNNNNNNNNNNNNNNNNNNNNNNNNNNNNNNNNNNNNNNNNNNNNNNNNNNNNNNNNNNNNNNNNNNNNNNNNNNNNNNNNNNNNNNNNNNNNNNNNNNNNNNNNNNNNNNNNNNNNNNNNNNNNNNNNNNNNNNNNNNNNNNNNNNNNNNNNNNNNNNNNNNNNNNNNNNNNNNAGUUUUCUCAAAUUGUUUCACAAAAAUGUGUAAACUAUUCUCCUCGAUAUUUUAACAUUUAUAAAAAAAUAAUCAAUUUGGAUAAAUAAAUUUAAACCCUAUCUAUAUUCACCAGGAGCUAUCAAAUAAAAUUGUAAAUAUGUGAUGUUCCAAAAAUUAGGAAAAUUUAUAUGUGGCUUGUUAAUAUUGCUAAUAAUUUAUGCAAAAAGUUUCAACACAAACCAAAUUCAUUUGAUAGCUAGAAUAAAUUGAAUACAACAACUAAAACCAAAAACAAUAAAAAAAAAUGGGCACAUGCACCUAUCGGCCAGCAGUAAGCCGACUGGGACUCUGGCUGACUAGAUCUUGACGGUCCCAAAUCGGCCAUCUGGUAGCCGACAGGGCACUUAUCGGCUUCCUCCUGGCCGAUUGGACCCAGUUGGCUACCAGAUGGCCGACUAUGUAUUAUUUUAAAAAUAAUAAUUUUAGAGUAAUAUUUCUUAAAAUUAAUUAAAAAUGUAUUAUUUUUAGAAAAUUAGCUCUUUCUUAGAGCUCAAACUCUGGCACACAUACAUGGAGACCGCCAUAUGGUGAGCACACAUACGCUCCCAGGGGCGACAUCUCUCUCCCUGGCUCCUAUACCCUCUACACAACAAUACAUGGGUUAUAUAGCCGGACUCGCACCAGGUGUUAGAGCAUCUUCAGCCGUUCGGCCCCCCAGAACGUCGAAAAAGCGUUGUCUAGGGCUGAACCAACGUAUCUUUUAGGUGUGGGGGGGAUUGUGUUUCCAGUCGCCGCCCCCAAGUCGCCCCCCAAAUUGGCGCAAACAGGGCGCAAAGUCAGCGAUUUGAUACAAAUUUACACAAACACAGCAUAAACUCGGUGAUUUUCAUUCAGAUUUGAACAAAAAAAUAGAGAAGAACUACACCUACCCUAGCCUAGCCUACUACACCGUUGCUGCCUUCUACAUCCUGAGAAGCCUGUAGAAACGGGUGUAGUCGCCGCCGCCGUCGUUGUCGUCAUCGCGCGCCCUGCUGGACGGCCCUGCUGCACCCCUGGCCAGGGUCGCCGACACGCGGUGGGGCGCUGGACGGCCCGGCCUCGUCCUCCUCGUCGCUGUCGAGGACGAUGACGCCGCCCUCCUCGCGCUCACGGCGCCGGGCCUGGAGCUCCUUGUAUGCUCGGCGCUGGUGGCACACCAGCUCACGGAGGUAGUCCUCCUUUGCCUAUUUUAGAGCGGUCUCGUCGUUGCGGGCUCCCACGCCGACGUGCUCCGGCUGCAGGCCCGGUGUCGGUGUCAAAACCGGCGGAUCUCGGGUAGGGGGUCCCGAACUGUGCGUCUAAGGUGGAUGGUAACAGGAGGCAGGGGACACGAUGUUUUACCCAGGUUCGGGCCCUCUUGAUGGAGGUAAAACCUACGUCCUGCUUGAUUUAUUCUUGAUGAUAUGAGUAUUACAAGAGUUGAUCUACCACGAGAUCGAAGAGGCUAAACCCUAGAAGCUAGCCUAUGGUAUGAUUGUAUGUUGUCCUAUGGACUAAAACCCUCCGAUUUAUAUAGACACCGGAGGGGGCUAGGGUUACACAAGGUCGGUUACAAGGGAGAAGAUAUACAUAUCCGUAUUGCCUAAGCUUGCGUUCCACGCCAAGUAGAGUCCCAUCCAGACACGAGACGAAGUCUUCAAUCUUGUAUCUUUAUAGUCCAACAGUCCGGCCAAAGGAUAUAAUCCGGCUGUCCGGAGACCCCCUAAUCCAAGACUCGCUCAGUAGCCCCCGAACCAGACUUCAAUGACGAUGAGUCCGGCACGCAGUGUUGUCUUCGGCAUUGCAAGGCGGGUUCUUAUCCAAUUUUCAAGUGUUCGUAAGCAGUGUCCGGCUCCAUAAAUGUUGAACCUCUUGGCUUCUGUGCCCAACAAGGGCUUUCUCCCACGCGUCGAAUGAAUACGAGGCACCAGGGCAUUUUUACAUUCGCCCCCCUAACCGGAUAAAUAAAUUGUCUAUUAAAGGGAUGGGGAUUCUUAGAUCCGAUCCAUACCAUCCUCCCCCAGCAAGAAUCCAUCAGAGCGCGUUUCGGAAAGAUCCAUUCCAGCAUGGCCGACCUCCGCAGCUCCUCCUCCCGCCCCCGUAGCCCUAAGCCCGGUGAUUGGGAGAGGUGUUCAGUCCCGUACAGUCGAUUAGUCGAACUGCAGACUAAGGGAUUUCGCCCUCCGGUGUAUAUGGUGCCCGUUUGAGCCGGGCUUGCCACCUACAAUGGCGGGGAGCAAGCGGAGAGCUUUUCAUGUCCCUCCAUGGGGGAACGGGUUUGCCUUGUUCCUUAUUUACUAAGGGGACUCGGAUUUCCAAUUCAUCCGUUUCUCCGCGGGCUCCUGGAGUUCUAUGGACUCCAAUUACACAAUCUCACCCCUGCGUCCAUUCUACAUGUCGUCGGCUAUGUUACUCUCUACGAGUUGUUCCUGGGAUGCGAGGCUCACUUCGAGCUGUGGAAAAGGCUAUUUUGCCUCGUCCCUCGCAUACCGGAUACCUGUCCAGUACCCCGAAGAAGUCUCCGAAGACUGGGCUUUAGAAUGGUUUUAUAUGGAGGACGUUCCUGUUCCGGACCCUGUUCGGCGGGAUCUUCCUAAGUUCAACAAUGCUCCUCUGAAGAAGCGCCGAAGUUGGCGCCCACGGAGCCCCCAGGCAGAAGACAACGGAGAAGUCCUCUAUCUGAUGAACCGAAUCAAAGCACUGGCUCAAUCAGGAUCGACAAUAAUCGAAGUUAUGUCGAUUUGCAUAAUGCGGGGAGUGCAGCCGAUUCAAUAUCGUGGGCACCCCUUGUGGUGUUAUAACGGGGCGGAUGACGCCACCCGCUGCGGGCGUAAGGGUCCGGACAAUGCUGCCGCUCUAGCGAAAAUUCUGUCCGAACUGUUCAAGGGUGAGGAAGAGGAGUUCACCCGCAUCAAGCCACGAGAUGGAUUCUCCAUGUACAAUCCUCCAAGCUAGGUAAGUUAUAUCUCCCUGCUCCCAUUUUCCCCGCAUUCUUUAUCGUAAGUAUUCACCUUGACACUUUGCGGCACGAACUGCGAAAAGCCAUAAAGGAGGUCAGCAGCCCUUCUCCACAACCAGAGGACCCUGACCGGGCCCUCGACUCCGAACUUGAAGAAGAUUCGGUUAUAUUCGUGGAGUUGAUAGACCUGCAGUUCUAUCAGUUAAGCUGCAACGAUGCCAUGGUGGCCAUUACGGCCGACUAUCCCGGACUGCUCCCUGCGUCACAAGUAAGAAAAACCAAAAAUCCCAACUCCAAAACUAGGAUCCCCGUUUAGACACUUCACCCACCAUAUACACAUGGCAUUUUACAGGGAAGGCAUUCGGGAUGCCCUGCCGAACCCACGUCAACGCGCCAACAGGAGGCAUUGAGGCCGGGUAGGCCAAAAAGGAAGGCGGUCGGGACGGAGCCGCGGGCGCAAAGGUAUAACAAACCCCGCUCCGUGGUUGUCGUCUUUCUCGAAAUGUAAUGACGCCCGUGUUUCUUUAACAGAAAAAACGCUCGCCGGAAUAUGUCCGGCGAUAUUGCCAAUCACGCUUCCACCAGUCGGGCGCCAGGACCGGACAUGGAGGCAGAAGCCGAUAUGGGGCAGGCGCCGGAUAAUCCCCCUACAGAGGAUGCAGAUAGAUUAUCUGCUACAAACUCGGAAGUGGAAAGCGCCAUGAAUCAUAGGCGCCGCCGGGCCGUACUCCGUGACGCUUGUUUCUCACCAGAUGCGUUUGACGCCUUCAAUUCUGGAGAGGCGUACCUCCGUGCUGCUCAAGAUGGUCUAGCCAGAGACACGGAUCAGUAUGUAAAGGAUGUACGGGUGAGUAAAUCUGACGAUUUAUAUAUAUCAGUAGCCCCUAAGACUUGAAACAGAUAGCAGAACUGAUUUAAGGAUCAUCUUUAUUGUGCAGGUUCUUACAGAGAAGAAUACUAGGCUGUCACAGGAGGUGGAGGAAUGCAAGACCCAACUGCGGCCUGCUGUGGCCGCAUUGCAGGAACCGAAAAAGUCACCUGCUGGUAAUAUUUCCUUUAAAGAAUGAUGGUUACCAUAUAACGUGUGGCAUGACUGCAGAUCUAACAACAGAUGUUGCAGAUGAAUCCGGAGAGAAUCCGGCGGACCAGCAUGUUAUGCGGCAGCUAGAGGCUGGCAAACGCGUGCUGACUGAGGUUAGGCGGGAGAAAAACAAUCUCCAAGAUGCCAAUAUUAAGCUGAGCGUGGAACUAAAAGACGUUCGGGGCCAGCUUGCAGACUCCGAGAAAGAGAAUAAGCGGCUUCGGCACGGCAUUUUCAGUAAGUGCUUGAACAAAUCCUUUUAAAGGAGUUCGGCGAAGAAGCCGACUAACAGCGUUAUGUCUGUAGGUAUGCUGACGGGUCGUCCCGCAGAGGAAAUGCCCGGGUCUGCGGGUGAUCUUCUGUCCGAGCUGUCACAUCUGCACGAACAAGUUCGGCAGGUGAUGCAGGGUGUUGCCCAGGCCUUGUGGCCGUCCGUCUCCCUGCCAGAGGGUGUUGUCGAGCUUGCGGAGAAGCUCAAGGGAGCACGGUGGCGCUUCCGAUUAUGGAAGAUAUCAGCCUGCCGACAGGGUGCCAGAGAAGCCUGGGCCAUGGUGAAGACGCGGUAUACCAAGGCAGACCCAAAUCACAUGGCCGAGGUCGGACCUGUGGGGCCCGACGGAAAAGAGAUCCCCAUUAGCUUAGUUUAUGGGCAAGUAGAAUUAGCCGCAAAGUAUUCUCAACAGGAUUAUAAGCUAGACCGCUUGUUGGAUGGUAUAGAAGAGGAAUUCAGUCAGUCUGCAUGACUAUGUAAUUAAAGUGACAUGUAUAAUGCCUUUUAGCCGGAUUGUAGAUCAUUUGUCGUUGCGGACCUUUUCGCUUCAACCUCCGGGCCCAAUAGUCCGGAGUGUAUCCGAAUACCCGCUCAGUUAUAUAAGAACCGGGGUAUGUGUGGAGACCAGGCGUAGGGGUCAUUAGCGCUUUAUCAGACAAGUGCCCAACUAGUUAUGUUAUAUUACAUGGGUAGUAAGAAACAUCUUCCAGGGAGAAUAGUUCCGUUAAGGGUUCCUUUCCCUGGGUAAGCAUGCCCUAAAGUGCAUGUCCGGAUUGCGAUAGGAAACACAGGAAAAACAUCUGGGGGCAGAUAUGGAUAAUAAAUAAAAAUCAUCUUUUGUUCACCGACCAAAUAUUCCCUUAAGAACGCUAGAUUUCGGCUUCACCCAGUCUGAGGUACACAUCCGGCUGACCCGGCAGUAACAAUCGCAGAGGUGCUCCCCUUAUGCCCUAGCCGAAUGAACGGGAAUAUAGGGCAUAAAUACAAGAGCCAGGCAACCUAGCUUGGCCAAAACUUAAAUCAUAUCGAUGCAUAUAAUGGUGAAAAAGGUACAUGCGGAAGUAUAACACAUGUGUGGGGCAUGAGGCCCAGAUAAAUAAUUUAAGCUUCUGUGAAAGAAGCCCCCAUGUAUGAAGAGUGCGGCUAGCGCAUCUGUAAUGUGCCAGCGAGGCACAAGGUGACCCUUGAAGGCCUAGAGAAAUAAUAAAAGAAAGAAAGAAAUAAAGAGAAACAAGACAGAUAAUGUAUAUGUGAAAAUGGACAAAGGGAGGGGACUAACAUAGAGUACGGUGCUAGACGUAGAAUCUUCGGAGCUUGGCCACGUUCCAUGGGUUCGGCUCGAGUCGACUAGUCGAUGCAUCCCGCAUUCGGUACGCUCCACCGGUCAGAACUUGGUCAAUAAUGAAGGGACCUUCCCAUUUGGGCUUGAGCUUGUUCUUUUUCUUAUCCGACAGGUGUAGAACUACUUCACCAACGUUAUAAGUUUUGGCCCGUACUUCUCUGCUUUGGUAUCUGCGAGCCUGUUGCUGAUAAAAUGCGGAACGGGCUUUUGCUACAUCGCGCUCCUCCUCCAGGGUGUCCAAACUGUCCUGCCGAUCGAGGUUGGCUUCUCUUUCUUCGUACAUGCGCACUCAAGGUGAGUCAUGAAUUAUGUCACAGGGCAAGACCGCCUCUGCGCCGUACAGCAUAAAGAAGGGUGUAUGUCCGGUACUAUGAUUCGGCGUGGUCUGCAGCCCCCAGAGUACAGAGUCGAGCUCCUUUACCUAGUGCGUGUUAGACUCCGUUAAGGAGCGCACUAAUCUGGGUUUAAUGCCGCUCAUUAUAAGAACAUUUGCUCGCUCGACUUGACCGUUGGUUUGUGGGUGAUAGACUGAGGCAUAAUCGAGCUUGAUGCCCAUUUUGCUGCACCAGAGUUUUACCUCGUCGGCCAUGAAGUUCGUGCCAUUAUCAGUAAUGAUGCUGUGGGGAACGCCAUAACGGUGUACAACCCCGGAUAUGAAGUCUAUCACCGGUCCAGAUUCGGCUGUUUUAACAGGUUUGGCCUCUAUCCAUUUGGUGAAUUUAUCCACCAUGACCAAUAAGUAUUUUUUCUUGUGGGUUCCCCAUUUAAGGGGUCCAACCAUGUCAAGCCCCCAGACCGCAAAGGGCCAUGUAAUGGGGAUUGUUUGGAGGCCGGUAGGUGGCAUGUGACUUUGAUUUGCAAAGAGCUGGCAACCGGCGCAGCGUUGGACCAAGUCUUGUGCAUCUGCCCGGGCCGUUGGCCAAUAAAAUCCUGUACGGAAGGCCUUGCUUACAAGAGCCCGGGCUGCGGCGUGAUGACCGCCGAGUCCGGCGUGAAUUUCUGCCAAAAGAUUCCGCCCUUCCUCUUCGGAGAUGCACCUUUGAAGGACUCCGGUAGUGCUUUUUUGUACAAUUCUCCCUCAUGGACCCUGUAGGCCUUGGAUCGCCGCACUAUGCAGCGUGCCUCAUUUUGGUCCUCCGGGAGUUCCUGUCUAGUUAGGUAGGCCAGGAAUGGUUUUGUCCACGGGGAAAUAAUGGUCAUUAUUUCGUGGGCUGAAGGUGUUAUUUCGGUGGCGGAGCCUCCGAUUGUGUCAGAAGUUCGGUAUCGGGUAUUUUGGCCGGGUCCGGACUGUUGUUACCGGUGUCCCCUUCCCAUACUACAGAUGGCUUGAACAACCUUUCCAAAAAUAUGUUAGGGGGACCACAUCACGCUUUGCACCGAUGCGGGCGAGGAUAUCCGCCGCCUGAUUGUUUUCCCGAGCCACAUGGUGAAAUUCGAGCCCCUCGAACCGAGCUGACAUUUUUAGGAUGGCGUUUCGAUAGGCCGCCAUUUUCGGAUCCUUGGCGUCGAAGUCUCCAUUUAUUUGGGAUAUUGCGAGGUUUGAAUCCCCACGCACCUCCAGGCAUUGAAUGCCCAUGGAGACUGCCAUCCAAAGACCAUGCAACAGAGCUUCGUAUUCCGCUGCAUUGUUGGAGUCUGUAUACAAUAUUUGCAAUACGUACUGAACGAUAUCUCCGGUUGGGGACGUCAGGACGACGCCAGCCCCUAGACCAGCCAGCAUUUUAGAACCGUCAAAGUGCAUGAUCCAAUUGGAGUAUGCGCCGUACUCUUUAGGGAGUUCGGCCUCCGUCCAUUCGGCAACGAAGUCGGCCAAUACCUGCGACUUAAUGGCUCGUCGAGGUUUGUAUGUUAUGUCGAACGGGAGGAGCUCAAUGGCCCAUUUGGCAAUCCGGCCCGUAGCGUCGCGGUUGUUUAUAAUAUCAUUAAGUGGCACUUCCGAGACUACUGUAAUCGAACACUCUUGAAAGUAGUGUCACAGCUUCCGUGAUGCCAUGAAUACCGCAUAUGCUAUCUUUUGGUAGUGUGGGUACCAUGAUUUGCAUGGAGUGAGGACAGUGGAUACAUAGUAUACCGGCUUUUGAAGAGGGAAUUUAUGCCCGUCUGCUUCCAGUUCGAAAACGAGCACCGCGCUUACAACUUGAUGAGUUGUCGCAAUAUACAAUAGCAUUGGUUCACCGAUGUUUGGCGCGGCCAGGAUUGGGUUGGUUGCCAAGAUGGUCUUUAUUUCUUCCAAUCCGGCUGUGGCCGCAUCCGUCCACUCGAAGUGUUCGGUGUGCCGAAGGAGGCGAUAAAGGGGUAAAGCCUUUUCUCCUAAGAGGGAGAUAAAGCGGCUUAGAGCUGCCACGCAUCCAGUUAACUUCUGGAUUUGUUUGAGGUCUGUUGGGGUAGCCAACUAUGAUAAAGCUCGGAUUUUGGCUGGAUUAGCUUCAAUACCUCUACUGGAGAAAUGAAACCCAGGAGCUUUCCGACUGGUACGCCGAAAACGCAUUUUUCCGGAUUGAGCUUGAUGUCGUAUGUUCGGAGGUUGUCGAAUGUGAGCCUCAAGUCGUCUAUCAAAGAGUCGACGUGUUUGGUUUUGACGACCACAUCGUCUACGUAUGCCUCUACUGUUUUGCCGAUUUGUUUCUCCAGACAUGUCUGAAUCAUGCGCUGAUAUGUUGCGCCGGCGUUUUUGAUCUCAAAAGGCAUUGUGUUAAACUAGAAGGGACCGUAUGGUGUGAUGAAUGCCGUUGCGGCUUGGUCGGACUCCGCCAUCUUGAUUUGGUGGUAACCGUAGUAUGCGUCGAGGAAACACAAUGACUCGUCUCCUGCGGUAGCAUCAAUGAUUUGAUCGAUGCGUGGGAGGGGGAAGGGAUCCUUUGGGCAAGCUUUAUUGAGGUCUUUGAAAUUGACACAAAGGCGCCAGGAUUUGUUCUUCUUUGAUACCAUCACCAGGUUUGCUAGCCAGUCUGGGUGUUUUAUUUCUCUGAUGAAUCUGGCCUCCAAUAACUUGGCUAGUUCCUCUCCCAUGGCCUGUCUCUUAAAUUCGGAGAAACGCUGAAGAGCUUGCUUGACCGGCUUAAAUCCCUUUAGGAUAUUGAGGCUAUGCUCGGCCAGCCUACGUGGGAUUCCUGUCAUGUCUGAGGGAUGUCAGGCGAAUAUGUCCCAGUUCUCGCGCAGGAACUCUCAUAAUGGGGUGUCCACAUCGGAGUUUAACUGUGCCCCGAUAGAGGCUGUUUUUGUAUGGUCCGUUGGGUGGACUUGGAAUUUGACUAUUUCAUCUGCUGGUUUAAAAGAGGUGGACUUCGAUCUCUUGUCGAGUAUCACGUCGUCCCUGUCCACCGUGGAUCGUAGCGUGGUUAAUUCCUUGGCCGAGAGAGCUUCGGAUAAUGCCUCGAGGGCCAAUGCGGCUAUUUUGUUUUCGGCAUGGAGCGCUGUGUCCGGAUCACUGGCGAGAGUGAUGAUUCCGUUGGGCCCGGGCAUUUUAAGCUUCAUGUACCCGUAAUGGGGUACGGCUUGAAAGAUUGUAAAUGCCUCCUAUCCUAAAAGAGCGUGAUAGCCACUGCUGAAUGGGGCCACUUGGAAUGUUAUUUCUUUGGACCUGUAGUUAUACGGCGUGCCGAAUACCACGUCUAGUGUGAUUUUCCCAGCACAACGUGCUUCUCAACUGGGGAUAAUUCCUCUAAAGGUUGUGCUACUUUGCUAGAUGUGGUUCCAAUCUAUUUCCAUCUUUUGAAGAGUUUCCUCAUAAAUGAGGUUUAGUUCGCUGCCGCCGUCCAUGAGUACUUUGGUGAGUCGAAAGCCGUCCACGAUUGGACUGAGGACCAGUGCGCCUGGUGCUCGGGCUGUUCAGAAUUUAGGUUCGUCACUGGCAUUGAAGGUAAUAGCCGUGUCACUCCAUGGAUUUAUUACUACUACGUGGCAGAUUUCGGCCAUGCCGCGGAGUGUUCGCUUGUGCCUAUUAUUUGACGCGAAGGUCUCAAACACUGUUAACACCGUAUUGUUAUCCACGGGAUGGUGGUCUGUGGUAUUUGGGAUAAGAAGAUCCUCACCACUUUUUGCCACCUGCCGGAGUAUCCAACAUGCUCUGAGGCUGUGCGUUGGUAUUAUAUCCGCUGUACUAUGAAUUUUGCAGGGUUCGUUGAGCCAUCCCUCUAGUACGGUUCCAUGCCCUGUAGAGGGUUUUUGUUUCUUUACAACUGGCUCGGGGUGUCUUAUGAUAGUGCACCCUUUUACUUCAGACUGGGUGUAUAUUCAGAGCCGGAUUAUCCCAAAAUUUCGUUUCGGUUUUCCAGGCGCUUUCCAUCUCACAGUACUUUCGUACUAUGGACGCCAAGUCAGCGAAGCGUGAUAUGUCACGGCGACUUAGGGCGUUAAGGAUUCCCUUGUCCGUGCAAUUAUUGCAGAAAAGUGAGACUGCAUCUUCCAGGUGACAGUCCUUAACCUUGUUCAAUAGAACGAGGAAUCUGGCCCAGUAAUGAUGUACUGUUUCAUGGGGCUCUUGCCUGAUGUGGGAAAGAUCGUUUAUGUUUGGGUGGGUGCGUGGAAUUGAAUUCUAACCCUUACCCGAUCUGGGAUCCAGGGGCCGAGGAGUUCCUAAUUUUGGAAGUUCCGGUUCUGGGGUGCUACCCGAUAAUCCUGGCCCGCUGCCUGACUCUAAGUUCAGGGAUUGGAUGUUGUCCUCCCGCGAACGGGCGUCCAGCUCGGAGAGCUCGGGAAUCCGGACAUAGUUGGUCCUCAAGAUAGAGGAAAGGUCGCCGCAUUGUUCCUCCAUCACCGCAAUAUGAUGGGUGACCGUUGGAGAGUUAAUCUCCCUUUGAUCGGGUUUAAACCCAAUCCGGUCAUAGUCCGUAGCGACUCCCAAGGCGGCGAUGCGAUCCAAGAGCUCGUUUAAGGAGGCGAGCUCCACUGGAUCCAUCUGUUCGGCGAGUGCCGAUUUGACGUGGAGGCUGUUUUUGAUGACCCGAGAAGCCAUCGUCGGCGCGGCGGCCGAACAGGCGGUCAUGAUGAAACCGCCUAGCCGGAGAGUUUGGCCGACAGCCAAAGCUCCCCUAACAGUAGUACCGUCUUUAAAGACGAGACCAGAAAUCCUUCCUUCUGGCGACGGCACAGAGGAACUCUCAAUGAAAGCACCAAUGUCGGUGUCAAAACCGGCGGAUCUCGGGUAGGGGGUCCCGAACUGUGCGUCUAAACCGGAUGGUAAUAGGAGGCAGGGGACACGAUGUUUUCCCCAGGUUCGGGCCCUCUUGAUGGAGGUAAAACCCUACGUCCUGCUUGAUUUAUUCUUGAUGAUAUGAGUAUUACAAGAGUUGAUCUACCACGAGAUCGAAGAGGCUAAACCCUAGAAGCUAGCCUAUGGUAUGAUUGUAUGUUGUCCUACGGACUAAAACCCUCCGGCUUAUAGACACCGGAGGGGGCUAGGGUUACACAAGGUCUGUUAUAAGGGAGAAAAUAUACAUAUCCGUAUUGCCUAAGCUUGCCUUCCACGCCAAGUAGAGUCCCAUCCGGACACGAGACGAAGUCUUCAAUCUUGUAUCUUCAUAGUCCAACAGUCCGGCCAAAGAAUAUAAUCCAGCUGUCCGGAGACCCCCUAAUCCAGGACUCCCUCACCCGGCUCGGGGUUCGUCCGGACUAGGCAGAGGGAGCGUGGGGAGGGACGGGAACCCUCGUUGAUGACAAGGGCGCCGCUGCGGGUGCGGCGCCGGAGCAUCGUCUCCUCCGGCUCCGGCUUGACGGGGCAGAGUGCCGGUGAGCCGGAGCAGACGGAGUCGGAGCCCGACGACGAGGACGCCCCUGGCUCCAUUCGCCGUGGCGUCCAGGAGCUGCCACGGUGGCGAGAGAAGGACGGGCGAGGCGGGUACUCGAGGCGCGGCAGUUGGCGGUCUCGAUGUAGUCGAGGACGGCCUCGAGCGUGCGGCCUAGCACGCCCCACCACUCGCGCCGCCCGUCGGCGUUAAUGUGACCGCAGGGGAUGACGCCGUUGGUGGAGGCGAUCUGUUCUUCACGGUGGCGCGCGAAGUACAUGGUCCACAUCGUGUGGUUGUCGGCGGCGUACCUUGACUUGUUCCGCUGCUCCGGCGGCAGGGACGAGCGGAUGCGGGCGAUCUCGGCCCGCCGUGCCGCCCUUCGGGCACCGGUGGCACCGGGACGCCGGCGGCGCUCAGCCUCCACGUACCCGGCACACGCAUGUUCGGGGGCGCCGGAUACUCGGCCUCGUAGAGGAGGCACGCCUCUGGCUCUUGGAGAUGGCGGCGGACGAAGCCGUUCGUCGCCGCGCCGUCGCUAGGGAACCUCUCAACCAUGUGCUCGUCGCUACGAUUGCGCGAGGACAUAUUUCCCUUCUUGAAAACACUGCUGCCGAAGAAGUCGACUUAGUUUUAUUUCAUAUCUUGUAAUGGUUUGACCAUGGUUGCCUUUGUUUUAUAUUCUACUGAAUAAUUAAUAAAUAUGGUUGUGUGCAUCACAAUGAUGCAGAGGUUAACCUACGUUUAAAUAAAAUCAACCUAGUGUCUAGCAGUAUUCUCCAACAGAAACUACAAUCCAUCAUUUUUCUUUUGCACAUCUUCCCCAUCUAAUUUCCGUGUUGAUGAUUGUACUAGUUGAUUUUACUCUACACUUGUCAGCCUGUAUAACUAGUUGAUAUUAUUGCACGCAAUAGGAAGGAAUGUAGUGCAUAUAGGUAAGUCUGUAGCAAUCCUUUUCUAAUAAAUAUUGUACUACUAAAGUAAGUUGUGAAGACUAAUUGCUAUUCAACACUUUGAUGGCAAUGCUAAGGAGUUGUGUGAAAAUCUUGAAUGAUCUGCUUCUUGUAUCUGAUUCUAAAUAAAUAGUAUACGUUAGAUUUUAUUGUAAAGAUCAGCUGCUUCUAUCCUUAUACUCCAGCAUCUUCCUUUCUGAAAGUGUGUUCAAUAAAUAUUUCUCCACGAAAAUGAACUUAAGUGGACAGAAAAUAUUUUGCAGCUGUUCACUACAAAGGAUAUUGUGCAACUAUCCAUUCAGAAGAAAAAAUAUGUUCUACAAAACAUAACUCUGUCUAAAUUUAGCCAGUUAAGAUCCCAUCUGAGAUGGUUAAGUACAACAGCCAAAAUUGCGUUGCUUGUACGAUCCUGGUUACUUUAGCCAUUAUUAGGGUACAUGGAGUAUAACUAGACAGUUUCAGCGCCUCUUCUUGUCUGCUUUUGCAUCACCAGAUUUCGAUGGGCUUGCGACCAGGUAGAUAAACACGCCAACAAAGGAAACAACAGAUGCCAACGUCCCAUAUUUCCCAACAAUGCUCUGCAGAUGAAUGGUUGAUCCGUCAGUCGCUAAAUGACGGUUGAUUCAGGCUUCCUAUUUGGAUGUAAUACUAGAUAAGUUGGUCCAAGAACAGAGUAUAGUGAAACUACCUUAGCCUGAAAUGUUCCAUGUGCCAAAUUAAGGUGGAUACCAAUGAGUGAAGUGUCAGCACCAAAGAUAUAGCAUAUCCAAAUAUUAGAAUCAUGAAAGGUUUCGUUUUGAACUGAAUGCAGCGAUAUGAUAACUAACCAAUUCAAAUUUCUGCUGCGGAGGUUUCUCAGCAAGAAUAUCAAAUGGAAGGACGGGCGUAGAAUAUGCCUCCUUCAAUAAAGAAAAAGAAGCUAUUAAGUUCAGGGAACAUAAUAUUAGAAAAUAGCACAGCACAUAAUGAGAAUUAGCAGAAAAUAUUCAGCUUCUCACCAGUCACAUGUUCUACUAACAUAUAAAACAAUCAGAAUCCUGAUUGAUUUUUGGUACAGUGUGACCAAUUAUCUGAACAUGCCAGUUGAGUUUUCUAGUCAGACAUAAAGCUUUCACCGCAUAAGUCGCAUAAACUGGAACAAAGCUAGAUUGCAGCCUUCAUGACUCAAGAUGGCAACGGGGACGAAACCCAUCGGGUUUUGCCUUCCCAAACCCAUCCCCACGAAAAAAUCAUAAACUCGUCCCCGUCCCCAUCACCGUGUGCGGGGCUAGUUUUCUGCCCGUCCCCUAAACCCAUCGGGUUUCAGGGAACCCACGGGGAACCCACGAUAAAAUCAAAAUAUUUAAACAAACAUAGUGGUGACAAAGAAUAACACUUUAGCAGCAAAACAGGCACAUUUCAGCAGCAUAAAUUGAGUAAAUUUCAACAAAAAACAAUAGUAGAUGGUUCAACAGCUAUAUAAGUUCUGAAAUAGAACUUUUAGUUCACAAAUCACUUUAAAGUUGGAAUCAUUAUGGCAUCUUUCACAUCUCCAAGCCUCCAAACAAUCAUCUUCAAAUCUUCCAAUGCCAAAUCAAAGUGCCAAGUACUAGAGAAGAUCAAAACUCGCUCAAGCUAAAGUUAAACAUGAGAAAAAUAUGCAGAUUAGUAUAUGAAAUUUGCAAGUACUUGUACUUCAGCUGCAUUCCCUCUUGAAUGUCUUGAAGACAACUUCAAAAGCUUUGUCCUUAUUCAUUGUCAGCAUAUAUGAGAAUCAUAUAAGUAGUAAUGAACAUCUUAUGAAACAUUGCAGCAAGAUAAUGAUAAACUUUAUGAUGAUAUGUAAAGAAAGACACACCUUUAUAUUUGUUUCUUAUCCAAUCUUGUGAACACAUCAAGGCCUCUUAGAUUUCGGGGGUAAGAUGACUACGGUGAUAAUAAAAAUAAUGUAAUUUCGCGGGUAUUGCCGGGUUUCGGCUUCGAGGACUACCGAAACGGGUGUAAACCCACGAAACGUGUCGGGUUGUAUAAUGUGCCCAACAACAGCCCCGCGGGGAUGAAAAGAUGCCCAUCCCCGUCCCCUAAUAAGGUAAAAACAAAUGGAGACGCGGGUUUCGGGGCCCCAUUGCCAUCUUGAACCACCUCCGUCGAGAGCCGCUUGACGGCCACCUCCGAACGCGCGGCUGCAGCCCAUCCAUGGUGUCCGUCUAGAGCCUUACGAUGGCCACCGUCAAGCCGGGAGCACGGGAUCCACACCUCCGACGGGCAACGAGCAGUGCCAACCCUCCUCGUAGUCUGAUGAGCCACCGUGGGUUCACUGGCCACAGUCCUGUGGCUCCCGGUUGAUCGGGGGAUGAGCCAGCUAGCCCGAGGUGAACUGGACGAUGCGUGCACGCCAAGUGACCACAGCACCGGCUGGUCUCUUAGGCCAACUACCACGCGUGCAGGCAGUGCCGUUUCACCAUGUGUCCGCCGCGGCUGUUGAUGACCUCCCGCAUCAAUCUGCCGGUCGGCUGGAUACGGCGACCCUGCGAUGCACACAUUGGGAGGAGGUGAGCGGGCCGUGGUGGGGAGCAGGAGCAGCUGUGGUGUGAAAGGAUUGCCGCUUCCAACGCAAAUCACACCAAAAUCCCUCAGAUGAGCUUAACGCAGUUCACUUCGCCAUUCUUUUGCAAUGUUUUUUGAUGAUUCUGUGAUCCUGACCAACCACUUCUGUUUAAUUCGAUACAGUCCUACAAGACUCAAGAUGGCAACGAGGACGAAACCCAUCGGAUUUUGCCUUCUUAAACCCAUCCCCACGAGAAAAUCGUAAACCCGUCCCCGUCCCCAUCACUGUGUGCGGGGAUAGUUUCCCGCCCGUCCCCUAAACCCAUCGGGUUUCAGGGAACCCACGGGGAACCCACGAGAAAAUCAAAAUAUUUAAACAAACAUAGUAGCGACAAAGAAUAACAUUUCAGCAGCAAAACAAGUAUAUUUCAGCAGCAUAACUUGAGGAAAUUUCAACAAAAAACAAUAGUAGAUGGUUCGACAACUAUAUAGAGUGUAUUUCAGCAGCAUGAUACCACAUUUCAGCAACAAAGAUGAUUAGAUUACAGCAACAAGGAUGAUCGUAUUUCAGCCAUACAUGGUUCAACAACAUGUGCAAUUACACAAGUUCUAAAAUAGAAUUCUUGGUUCACAAAUCACGAGCACAAACGAGACGGAGCAAGCGAUACUGGCCACCCAGCGAGGGGUUGGUUUGGCCUUCUAUGUUGGGGGUGGGGGCUCGGUAGCUUUGGGUUGGGCCGCGUAGGAUCAGAUCUUGGUAAAAAAAUGUAUUUUGUCGGGUUUGCUGGGUUUCGGGUUCGGAGACUACCGAAACGGGUGCAAACCCACGAAACGUGUCGGGUUGUAUAAUGUACCCAACAACAGCCCCGCGGGGAUGAAAAGACGCCCAUCCCCGUCCCCUAAUAGGGUAAAAACCCACGGGGAAGUGGGUUUCGGGGCCCCAUUGCCAUCUUGAUUCAUGACAACACGGCAUUUGAUAACUGCGGGAGAACCCUGAAACUUGCCCUGCGCUUUGGUCUCCACUCUCCAAGACAGUUGUGGGAUGUCGUUGAACCGCUGGCCAUACAAACAGAAGGUACAUACCAAAGCGACUUUGCCGCUCAAUCCAAAAUUACACUUGCAAGUAACUCCACCAAACAAAACAUACCAAGGGAUUAGUUUCAUAAGAGUAUUAGAACUUUAGAAGAAAGCAAAUGUAAAGAUGAAAAUAUAUCAUUUCAUGUCAGCUAUAAAUAGCCAUACAUCAUGAAGACCCCCUUCCAUCAUCCAUCCUUCACAUAUUUAGAGCGCAAGCAUCCAAACUAAACAGUCAAGCGUAACCACAAAUCCACCAUGAAGAUCUUCUUGGUCUUUGCCCUCCUGGUUGCCACAACGAUCAGCAUCACCGCCACUGCGCAGCUCGACCCUAGCGUCCAUGACUUAGAAAGGCCACACCAAUCAUUUCCACAACAGCAGCCACUUCCCCCGCUACAACCAUUCCCGCCGCAAGAGCCAUAACAACCAUUUCCGUUGCAGCAACCACAACACCUGCAACAACAACCACUUCCCCAACAACAUCUAUUUCCGCAGCAACCGCCACAACAACAAUUUCCACAGCAACAACAAACAUUCCCGCAACCUCAUCAACAACCACAAUUCCCGAAACAACAACCAUUUUACCAAUAUCAACAACCAUUUACACAACAACCAUAACCGAAAGAGCAACCAUUGGCACAACAACAACCUUGUGUAGAGGAAAGACAACGACUGAACUUGUGCAAGGAAUUCCUCUUGCAGCAGUGCAACCCGGAGGAGAAGGUGUCGUCACUCCAUUCGAUGAUCCCGUUCCUCUGACCAAAGACCUCGCAACAGAAUAGCUGCCAGUUGAAGCGACAAGAAUGCUGUCGCCAACUUGCACAUAUCCAUGAGCAGUCUUGAUGCCUGGCCAUCCAAAGCCCUGUGCAUGCCAUCAUCGUGCAACAACAACAACGACGACAACAACAACAGGUUGAUAGAGGUUUUGGCCAGCCUCAACCCACCACAAUUGGGCCAGGGAAUGCCCAUGCAACCUCAAUAGCCACUGGGCCAGGGCUUUAUCCUACCUCAGCAACUAGCCCAGUUUAAGUUGGUUAGGUCACUUGCGAUUCAGAUCCUGCCUAUGUUAUGCAACGUGCAUGUCCCGUCUGAUUGCUACACCAUUACUGCAUAUUUUGGUAGCAUGACUGCCUGCAGCUGUGGACAAUGAAAUGACAAGAGUUGUACUACCACACAGGUGGACCUUCAUUGUUUACUCGAUUGGACAAUCG
rnacentral:lncRNA from 1 species